UACGUAGGGCGCAAGCGUUGUCCGGAAUUAUUGGGCGUAAAGAGCUCGUAGGUGGCGUGUCGCGUCUGCCGUGAAAGCCCAUGGCUUAACUGUGGGUCUGCGGUGGAUACGGGCAGGCUGGAGGCUGGUAGGGGCAAGCGGAAUUCCUGGUGUAGCGGUGAAAUGCGUAGAUAUCAGGAGGAACACCUGUGGUGUAGACGGCUUACUGGACCAUGACUGACGCUGAGGCACGAAAGCGUGGGGAGCAAACAGG
rnacentral:rRNA from 1 species